rnacentral:ncRNA from 1 species
UCUAUGGAGAGUUUGAUCCUGGCUCAGGACGAACGCUGGCGGCGUGCCUAAUACAUGCAAGUCGAGCGGACGAUUCAAAAGCUUGCUUUGAAUCGUUAGCGGCGGACGGUGA